AUGUCUAGUGUCACUGGAAACAGCCAGCUGACCUCACAAUGCUUAUCUCACUGUUGCUGUCAAAGCAACAGGGACUAUUGCCCUUUGAUCCCAUCCCUUGUCCCUCCACCUGCACUUCCUCUCAUGCCACCACUGAGGACAAUUCGAGAAACUGAUGCUACCGUGUGGAACAGCUUACCAGGGUUUCAUUCCCUGCAAAGUUAUUUGUAUACUUGUCCACUACAGGAACAACCCAACGUCAGAAGUCUUUUUAGAGGAAAUCACCACAGGCCAAGCCUUAAGGAAUCACCACCCUACUGGUCAGUGGCCAUCGACACUGAGGUGAAAGCCUUCACUAGCAAAAAAAUUAUAACGCUAUAUAUUUACUUAUAAAUAUAUAACAUAUAUACACAUUUAUAUAUAUACAGCAUUUAAACAUAUGUUAUUUCAUAUAUAAUAGACUACAGUAUAGUAUAAACAUAACUUUUCUAUGCACUGAGAAACCCAAAAAUUCUCGCUUUUAUUUUGAGAUUUGCUUUAUUGUGGUGCUCUGGAACCAAACCUGCAACAUCAAGGUAUGCUUGUAAAACUGACAAAUGAUUCAUAGCUAGAAUAUAUAAAGAACUUCUAAAAAUCAAGAUAAGGACAAAUGACCCACUAGAAGUAUGGAUAGAAGAUUAAAACAGGUGCUCCAUAGAGGAAAUACACAUGGCAGUACCCUCAGCCUCAGUUAUCAUGAGAGCGUAAAUUAGGACCACAGUAAGAGGCAAAACCUGGCAAGAUUUAAGAAAUCUGGGCUAGGUGUGGUGGCUUACGCCCGUAAUCCCACCACUUUGGAAUGCUCAGGCGGGUGGAUCACCUGAGGUUAGGAGUUCAAGACCAGCUUGGCCAACAUGGUGAAACACCAUCUCUAUUAAAAAUACAAAAAUUAGUUGGGCAUAGUGGUGGGCACCUGUAAUCCCAGCUACUCAAGGAGAAUCACUUGAGCCUGGGAGGCGGAGAUUGCAGUGAGCACCAUUGCACUCCAGCCUGGGUGACAAGAGUGAAACUCCAUCUAAAAAAAAAAAAGAAAAGAAAAAGAAAAAGAAAUCUGACAAUAUAAAAUGUCGCCGAGAAGGGGAGACCAGUGGAAAUUCUUACAGACUUCCCAUGGAAGUGAAAGCCACUUUGGAAACCAAUUUGGCAUCAUCUUAUAAAAUGUAACAUUUACUCAAUGACUAUUCACACCUCUAUACCAUAGAUAGAGUCACACAUGUGUACCAUGAGGCAUGUACAAGAGUGUUUAUAGCAAUACUGAUCAUAAGGGCAAAAAACUACAAACAGCCCAAAUAUCCAAUGGUAGGAAAAUUGGUACACUGAUCUCUUUUUCUAUUUACACAAUGGACUAUUGUACAACAGUUUAAAAUAAAUUAAUUCUACAUGACA
rnacentral:lncRNA from 13 species